CCUACGGGGGGCUGCAGUAGGGAAUAUUGCACAAUGGGCGCAAGCCUGAUGCAGCGACGCCGCGUGAGCGAUGAAGGCCUUCGGGUCGUAAAGCUCUGUCCUAAGGGAAGAAUAAUGACGGUACCUGACUAAGAAGCCCCGGCUAACUACGUGCCAGCAGCCGCGGUAAUACGUAGGGGGCAAGCGUUAUCCGGAAUCACUGGGGGUAAAGGGUGCGUAGGCGGUAGGGCAAGUCAGAUGUGAAAGCCCGGGGCUCAACUCCGGGAUUGCAUUUGAAACUGUCUUACUAGAGUGCAGGAGAGGAAGGCGGAAUUCCUAGUGUAGCGGUGAAAUGCGUAGAUAUUAGGAGGAACACCAGUGGCGAAGGCGACUCUCUGGACUGUAACUGACGCUGAGGCACGAAAGCGUGGGGAGCAAACAGGAUUAGAUACCCGUGUAGUC
rnacentral:rRNA from 1 species